rnacentral:rRNA from 1 species
UACGUAGGUGGCAAGCGUUGUCCGGAUUUACUGGGCGUAAAGAGCGCGCAGGCGGUCGUUCAAGUCGCGUGUGAAAGCCCCCGGCUCAACUGGGGAGGGUCACGCGAUACUGAUCGACUCGAAGGCAGGAGAGGGUAGUGGAAUUCCCGGUGUAGUGGUGAAAUGCGUAGAUAUCGGGAGGAACACCAGCGGCGAAGGCGGCACUCUGGGCUGGUAUUGACGCUGAGGAGCGAAAGCGUGGGUAGCGAACAGG